UUUCAUCUAAUAUUAUAUUUAAUAUUUAAUUAAUAUUAAUAUUUUACAUGAUGAUAAAUACGAUAAGAAAAUACGCAUCAAGUCUGUAUGCGUCUUUAUGAAUCAAUUUUUUUUUCUUCCUUGCCUCUCACCUUCUUUUUCUUUUCUAUGAUAUCCUUAAAAAGAAAAAAUGUAGUAACUAGUAUGCAGUAACAAACGUUGAUUAAAUUCGAACAUACAUAUCACAUACAACUUUCUUUUAACAUAUCUCCUAUGUGACUUGUUAAUGUGACGCAAAUAUUAUUAUUAUUAUAAUACGUGAUUAAUUAACUAAUGCAGAAGAUUUGUAGCCAAUGCGCCUCUCGGAGGAAAAUUUUUCUAUCAAUAUUUAAUUCGCUAACAACUUUUUAUACGGUAAUAAAAAAAGAUCGCAUCAUAAAAUCAACGUGCAGGGCAAUCUCCGCAACGCGGAAUUUAUAAUUCACGAGCGUCAAUUGAAUUAUUCGGGAACAGCGUAUAUAAAAAAUAUACACAUGUAUAUGCAAAUGGCGCAAGUAAAAUCUUUUGAAUCAUUUUAAUAAUGAGCGUCACGCGUCAAUUCGCAUAUCAUUCAUUAACGCGAUAUUUUUGCGUUUUAAAAAUAAAUUUACAGCAUUUUUAAAUUAAACGUUGCGGCAUUGUAUAAUAACUUACAUGAUUACAAUUAUCGAGACUGCACUUGCCAUUGAAAUUAAAAACGAUUUUACAUUAAAAUCAUCGACACAUAUUUCGCUGAUUGUGUUUUUGCCAAUACUGGUUUAAUCAACAAAAUAUAUAAAAAUUUCAUUAACGAAAUCUUCGUCGAUGCUUUCAAUGUGAUCUCUUAAAAAAAAGUGAAAUUUCUCGUAAGUGAUCACUAUUUCUCGGCAAAUCUGAUCCUUGGGAGGCGCGAAAAUAAACCCAACGAAGUCGACAAUAUAUUCGACAUACCGCGUUAUCUCGAAGAAAUGUGGAAAGAUCCCAGUGAUAAGCAACAGCGGCCAAUUGAGCAAAUAAUCACAGAAGCUAUGACUGAUAAUAAUAUACGUAAUCGCGGAUGUCAUUAUCGUAAUGUAAUAUACAGUAAAGCUAUCUUGAGCAGAGAGAAUAACGCGUCACACUAACAAUAAGUAUGAAAGAUGAGCUUUCUUGUCUCCUGAUAAAAAAAAAAAGAAGAUUCUAUUAACAUCGUAUUUGCAAAUAUUUGCACACGAUAUACUUAAGCAAAUUUCCGAGAUUUAACGCGAGUUUUUAAUCUUUUCGAGUAGAAUUUGAAUGUUCACGAAACUGCUAUGAGAUUUUCGCCACACGUUAAGUUUAUUCGAAUUUCCUUCGUUCGUGAAAACAGAUAUUUGUACUGUGAAUCAUUUGUCAUGUAGUAAAUAUCAGUAGCAAGUCAAAAGUCGAUCCAGUCAAUAAGCAAAGUCGCAUAAUACUUAUUUCAGAAAUGAUGGUUCCAAAUCGGCUAUCAAUUUACAAAAUAUAAAUGUUUCUGCACCGUCAUUAUCGCAGAGAAUAAUUACGUAUGUGAAUAAAAAGAGGAUAUUCAGGGAAAGACACUGUAAUGCACGAGACUGACGAAGAACAUUAGCGUGAGCUUAACGACGUCGGGCGACGUUAAUGCCUGAAAUUUCUUGGAGCAAACCUACGGGAAAAUGGAAACGUUUCUAUUACACAUCUUGCCGGCAUCAGUAAAUGGACCUAACAAGGAUUUGACUCGUCCUCGACGAUGGCGCGGCAAUUACGUCAAAGAAGGACGACUGUAUUCCAAUGAACGAGGAGGCUAACGAGCGUCGCUAAUGCAGGAAGGAUUCAAUGGCUCUAUCUUCGCACGAGGAUGGACGGUCUAAUAUCGGAUCUCGUAAAAUUCCAAAGCUCGUCCCGGUAGGCAAAUAUACCUCCCGCGAGCGCGAGCCACUGUGAUAGUCGUAGAUAAGACCUUAAAGCUCGGACGAUAGCACGAAGAGCGUUAACUGAUUUGUAAGAAACGUUAAUUCAUAGUGUGCAAAGGAAAACCAUCGAUCGUAAUAAAGAAGCUGAACUUUCAAGUUCGUGAGAAAGUGAGAAUACAAAUUAUCAGACAAAUAAACGUAUGUGUUUCCUGAAAUUGGAGAGAUUCAGAGGAGUUUUUUACAACAUUCUCCAUAUUUGUUAACCAAUUCUAUGUGGAAAUAUUUUAUAAGAUAUUCACAUAUUAUAUUGGCAGAAAGACAACAAGCAUUGUCUUUAUAAAUAAUAGCGCCAAAGACUAGAUUCACUUUAUAAAAAUAUUCAAAAUCUAGUAUCACGUAUCGUAGACGCGCAACGGCUGAAUACUCUUAAGUAGGGUCUGACAGGGCCAAAAGGUUGGGUCGGGCUCAAGAUACUGUGCCAUUAUCGAAACGUCGAGGAAUUACGGAAAUGAACGGCCCGCGAUGCGUUAAGCGCAUUAUAACGAUCAAGAAUUACGAUGAUUAGCGGGUCGCGCGGUGGCCGUGUAAUGCCGCUUCGUCCAGAGAGUGAUCUCCGGUGCGGUAGGCCUCGGCGAGGUGCCUUACGAGGUGGGCCCUCCUUAUUAAGGUUUCGUGACGCGCGCUCCAUGGAACGAUCGCCGCGCGUCUCCAUAAAAAUAUCUUUCUUUUCCCAAAUUGGACCGUGAAUAACAAACUGCGGCUUCGGCGCGCGUUUUCGCCCCUAAACGACUCUUUUAGCCCAGUAGAUACCGUUAUUAACGCGUACCGGGCAGUUUAUACAUACCUAGUGCAUCGUUACGCAGCCUCAACUGCCAGACGCAAGUACGACACCGCGGAAGCAUAUAAAUUACCGUCGGUAUUUCGGUAAAUACGUGCAAUGUCAACGCGGUGUUUCGGGCAUUAAUAGACAAUGACAAACGAGUUCGUUGAACUACCUUAUUCAAAUAAGAACGCGCUCGUCAAGAGUGUGCUUUUUACGAUGACCCGAGUGAUAAUGAGUCAUCGAUGCUAUUAUCAUCUUUCUGUUAUUUUAAGCAUUGUAUUCUAAUUACAACAACCAAAGAAAUAUGCAAAAUAAAAAUAUAAAUCGUGCAAUUUAUGUUAUGCGAUAAUAAAAUUUUAAAAAAACGUGGAAAAAUUAUAUGGGAAAGUUCCCGACAUUCAAGUCAACGUCUAAAAAAUAAUUUCUUCUCUAUCAAUAUCAAAUUUAGCAAAAGAUUAAAUAGUUAUGCGACGGGAAAAUCGUAAAGCUAGCAAAUCGGAAUCGAGGAACAACAACUGUGUCGGACAUACCAGCAUCGUCGACGAUGACGCCAGGCGAAUGAAUUCGCACGAUACGCUGCGUAACGAGCCUAUCGAUGAAAAAGAAAAAGAGGUGACGCCGCGUUUCGCGUAGGCACAUUGUUGGUACAUCGUCGCGACUAACCAAGGUAUCACACAACGAUCGAAGUGAAAAAUAAAUCGCCGGAGAGAGAGCGAAGGUGCGCGUCGGCGCUAUGAAGUUUGCGACCACCUACGCGUUUCACGACGCCGAGAAAGAGCCGCAAAAAAGGCGGAGAGUCGAUCGAGAGGGUUCGAUAGAUAAAAAAAAAAAAAAAAACGGCUGAACAAAGCGACACUAAGAAAAGGUGAUCCAGGGGACUCGCGAUAAUCGAAGGAGAUCUUUUUGCGAAAUGCAUCGCGUGACGUCCCUGCAUGCGUAUUCAGAACACAGUCCCGAGAUCAAUAAUUGCUAACGUAAGAAUUAUACGGCAAAUAUUAUAGAGCAGAUUGGAAAACGUUGAUACGCUUGAUUAGUCAACGCGAUUAUCGAAGCGAGAGGAAGAGAAAGAGCGAGCCGCACAAAAAAGCGCGUGAAUACUCAGGAUGGGGGUGCUGCACGAGACACGUGACCACCUCCGCCGAACGGCUUUAAAACAACAUAAAAAAAAGGCGGAAAGUGAAACCUUGACGAAGCGCUAGAGCGAAAACAGAAAAACAAACAUACGAUCGAUCUCGUCUCGAUUUUGAACGCGAGGCUUCUCGAGACGUAAUUUAAAUUUCAUAGAGCGUGUAAGGUCAUGUUUGUUUCUCGUAGAAAAAUCGUUCUACAUAUCUAUUUACAGAAUAAAACAUCGCUGAAGAUUUUAACUGAAUUAAGCAGAUAUUCCUGUGCCAAUAGUAAAUAUCUCGCGGAGGAAAGAAAGAUUUUACGAUUGUUUAAAAUAUUGACUAUGGAUAUGAUUCUUUUAAUAAUAUUAAUAUACGGUAAUGUGUGUGCAAUUUUUGGUCAUUAUUCGAGAUUAUCAAAUAUUAUAAAACACGUAAAGAAAAUUUUUCGUGUGUCUAUUCUUAUUAUUACAUUUUCUCUGAUCACUUAAAAUUUAAAGUCUAUAGUGCAAACUUAAUUUUACCGACGGCAAGAAUGACAGCUUCAUUAUUUUUAUUCAGUGUCUCUGUAUGUUUUAUAUCACGCGUGAAUUAAUUAUGCGCGCCGAGAUUCGCAGAAGCAACGGAAAAAAGAAACUGAAAUUCUGUGCGAGAUGAUUCUAUAAAGAGACGAUCGGCAAACAAAUCAAAGAAGAUUAGGUAGAAGCGCAGCUGGUCUACAUAAGAACAAUCUGAAAUACCAUUUAUGCGAGAAAUACUCUUUUUCACAGCAUUUUAAAUAUUAUAUUCCGUCUUUUGUCAUAUCGAAAAUUUAUAUUUAUUUUUACUACAUUAUAGGAUCUGGCAACAGAGCAUAAAUAUGAGCGAGAAAUUGUACUAUUCUUUAUAAUACAAACAUUAUACGAUAAUCUGAUCGGACAAUUAAUAACACUUCCACGUAAAUCACAUAGUUUAUCAUUGUCUAAUACUACCACCUCGUGACGUAAAAUACUUUCAGUAUGAUACUGCGCGCGAACUGCGUGCGUCAGCUUCGCAUCUGCCUAAGCCUAUUUGAAAAAAAAAAAAAAAAAAAAAAA